rnacentral:rRNA from 1 species
UACGAAGGGGGCGAGCGUUGUUCGGAUUUACUGGGCGUAAAGGGCGCGUAGGCGGCCCUCCUUGUCGCGUGUGAAAGCCCCGGGCUCAACCUGGGGAAUUGCGCGCGAAACGGGGGGGGCUGGAGUUCGGGAGAGGAGCGUGGAAUUCCCAGUGUAGAGGUGAAAUUCGUAGAUAUUGGGAAGAACACCGGUGGCGAAGGCGGCGCUCUGGACCGAGACUGACGCUGAGGCGCGAAAGCGUGGGGAGCAAACAGG